rnacentral:rRNA from 1 species
ACUCCUACGGGAGGCAGCAGUGGGAAUAUUGGACAAUGGGGAACCGUAGCAUCCAGCAAUGCCGCAGUGUGUGAAGAAGGCCUUCGGGUUGUAAAGCACUUUCAGUAGGGAGGAAGGUAGUGUAGUUAACACCUGCACUAUUUGACGUUACCUACAGAAGAAGCACCGGCUAACUCCGUGCCAGCAGCCGCGGUAAUACGGAGGGUGCGAGCGUUAAUCGGAAUUACUGGGCGUAAAGCGCAUGCAGGCGGCCUGUUAAGUCAGAUGUGAAAGCCC